AUAGUGGACGUUACUCGCAGAAUAAGCACCGGCUAACUCUGUGCCAGCAGCCGCGGUAAUACAGAGGGUGCUAGCGUUAAUCGGAUUUACUGGGCGUAAAGCGUGCGUAGGCGGUUUGAUAAGUCGGUUGUGAAAGCCCCGGGCUCAACCUGGGAUGGUCAUUUAGAACUGGCAGACUAGAGUCUUGGAGAGGGGAGUGGAAUUCCAGGUGUAGCGGUGAAAUGCGUAGAGAUCUGGAGGAAUACCGAUGGCGAAGGCAGCCAUCUGGCCUAAUACUGACGCUGAGGUACGAAAGCGUGGGGAGCAAACAGGAUUAGAUACCCUGGUAGUCC
rnacentral:rRNA from 1 species